CGAAGGCUUCGGCCUUAGUGGCGCACGGGUGCGUAACGCGUGGGAAUCUGCCCUCAGGUUCGGAAUAACAGCGAGAAAUUGCUGCUAAUACCGGAUGAUAUCGCGAGAUCAAAGAUUUAUCGCCUGAGGAUGAGCCCGCGUAGGAUUAGCUAGUUGGUGUGGUAAAGGCGCACCAAGGCGACGAUCCUUAGCUGGUCUGAGAGGAUGAUCAGCCACACUGGGACUGAGACACGGCCCAGACUCCUACGGGAGGCAGCAGUGGGGAAUAUUGGACAAUGGGCGAAAGCCUGAUCCAGCAAUGCCGCGUGAGUGAUGAAGGCCUUAGGGUUGUAAAGCUCUUUUACCCGGGAUGAUAAUGACAGUACCGGGAGAAUAAGCUCCGGCUAACUCCGUGCCAGCAGCCGCGGUAAUACGGAGGGAGCUAGCGUUAUUCGGAAUUACUGGGCGUAAAGCGCACGUAGGCGGCUUUGUAAGUUAGAGGUGAAAGCCUGGAGCUCAACUCCAGAAUUGCCUUUAAGACUGCAUCGCU
rnacentral:rRNA from 1 species